rnacentral:tRNA from 1 species
GGAAAUGUGGCUUAGUGGUAGAGCGCUUGCCUAGCAUGCAUGCACAAAGCCCUAGGUUCGAUUCCUUAGUACCA